rnacentral:lncRNA from 1 species
AAUAAACCACUCCAUUGCAGAAAAGCGUGGGCAGGCAGGACUUCACUCCACUGCAGCCCCGGGAAGUCGAAAUAAACAUUGAGGUGGGUUCUGCUAUAGCCAUUUCGUCUAACUUAAGGAGGGGAAAAAAUGGAGGGGGGAGACUUCGGAACUUGAGUGGGUCAGUAGCCCCCGAGAGCCGGCCUCUGCAGCAGGUCGCGACCACGGCGUGGAGGGCAGCGGUUUCCAGGAGCGCUAGGAAGUCCUUCCUGCGGUGUGGCCCUGGGAGCCCGGACGAUGGCUUGGCAUCUUCUUCCGAGCAAGCGCAGCUCUCAGGCCGGGCCUGAGCCUGCAGCCUGUGUGCCCUCCAUCAUCAGGGCCCCCUCUCAGGACAGGCUACACCGAGGGUGGGACGGCGGACUUCCAGGGACACUUCCAAGUCGUGCCCAUGCAGAUACCUCAGUAUACACUGCCCACAGUUAAGAAACCACGACCUGAGACAUUGUUUUGAAGAGGUGAAAAUGCCUCCACUCAAGUGGCCCAGGAGCGUGAUCCAGGAAGACGAACACACAGAACCAUCUUCUGCAUGGUUUGAAAAUUCAGUGGAAACUAGGACUCCAAGCUGCUGUCCCCUCUCUGCCGCAUCUGAGGCUGGGAAAACUUCCUAGGAGAAGGCAAGAGAAAGCCACCAGACCAGAGCCGAGGACUAAACUUUAAGGUCGAAGACGGCAGAGGGGCAGGUUCUCCCCUGCACACCCCAAGGCCUCUCCUGCACCCGCGAGGCCUUCCUUGAGCGCCCAGGCCCCCGAAAUGCCUGCCCUCCUUCUGACAAAAGGAGGGGGUAGGAUGUGAAGGGGUAGUGCAACCAACAAUGUUUUUGUAAACACAACAACAGGGAAAUACAUGGAGGAAAUCU